rnacentral:rRNA from 1 species
UACGAGGGGGGCUAGCGUUGCUCGGAAUCACUGGGCGUAAAGGGUGCGUAGGCGGGUCUUUAAGUCCCCCGUUAAAUCCAGCUGCUCAACAGAUGGGCCGCGGAGGAUACUACAGAGCUAGGAGGCAGGAGAGGCAAGCGGUACUCAGUGGGUAGGGGUAAAAUCCGUUGAUCCAUUGAAGACCACCAGUGGCGAAGGCGGCUUGCCAGAAUGCGCUCGACGGUGAGGGAUGAAAGCUGGGGGAGCAAACCGG